GUCGUAACAAGGUAGCCGUAGGGGAACCUGCGGCUGGAUCACCUCCUUUCUAAGGAUCUGGCAGAAAGCGCCGUCCCUUGCGGAUGGAAGAGCUUCUCCCACUCCAAAGAACAUGCCGUCGUCCUCAUGUCCCUUCAUCCUGGAGAUAGCACCGCAAGGUGCUGUAUGCCUGAGCUGGCUUAUCUGCCGCCCGCGGCCCAUUGGCCUGCUUGUGGCGCAGGAUGGGCCGGUAGCUCAGGUGGUUAGAGCGCACGCCUGAUAAGCGUGAGGUCGCAAGUUCAACUCUUGCUCGGCCCACCAUCCUUAUACGCCUUGGUUGCCAAGGGGGCCUUAGCUCAGCUGGGAGAGCGGUUGCUUUGCAAGCAUCAGGUCAUCGGUUCGAUCCCGAUAGGCUCCACCACUUGUUCGAGUGAAAUAAGGAACUUAUUUCACGUCUCGCGAACAAGUGCGGCCAGCGUGGAAAAGCACGCCAUAAGGCGUGGCUUUGCCACGACUGACGGCGUGUGGAAGCGCCAAGCUCACCAAGAUACUCCAGAGAUGAAGCGAAACGGUUCCGGCCUGCAAGGGUCGGUUACGCGGGAUCUGCCCGCGGUUCUUUGACAUUGUGAAUGGGUUUUUUAAUCGAUGCCGUGGCGCAUGGGUUUUCCAAGACGUUUGGAAGAUCGAUCAUGCGUUACAUACAGAUCAAUAUCUGGCUGAGAUUAUCGUCCGCACCUAGCACGACGCAGUCUUUAUGCAGGGCUGUCGUUGAUGGUGUGGAUUCUCAAGCGUGAGGUAAGAGCAUCUGGUGGAUGCCUUGGC
rnacentral:misc_RNA from 1 species